rnacentral:rRNA from 1 species
GAUGAACGCUGGCGGCGUGCCUAAUACAUGCAAGUCGAGCGAACAGACGAGGAGCUUGCUCCUCUGACGUUAGCGGCGGACGGGUGAGUAACACGUGGAUAACCUACCUAUAAGACUGGGAUAACUUCGGGAAACCGGAUCUAAUACCGGAUAAUAUAUUGAACCGCAUGGUUCAAUAGUGAAAGACGGUUUUGCUGUCACUUAUAGAUGGAUCCGCGCCGCAUUAGCUAGUUGGUAAGGUAACGGCUUACCAAGGCGACGAUGCGUAGCCGACCUGAGAGGGUGAUCGGCCACACUGGAACUGAGACACGGUCCAGACUCCUACGGGAGGCAGCAGUAGGGAAUCUUACGCAAUGGGCGAAAGCCUGACGGAGCAACGCCGCGUGAGUGAUGAAGGUCUUCGGAUCGUAAAACUCUGUUAUUAGGGAAGAACAAAUGUGUAAGUAACUAUGCACGUCUUGACGGUACCUAAUCAGAAAGCCACGGCUAACUACGUG